UUCAAAUAUGUGUUGCUUGGUUGAUUGAUGACUUUUUCGAUUAUAUCUUACAUCCAUAAGCAUAGUGCAAGUUUUUCAAAGACAAAGAUCCCUUUACAAGGUUUACAGCUCAGUGCCAAUCACUGGGCUGGCUAUCCAUUAGGCAGGUACUGGAUAAUGGCUAAAAUUCCAGUACUGAACGCACAUUAUGGCAACAAAAGAGCCUGUUGUACUAUUCACUGCCAGCAGAUGGCAGGCCUUCAUCAGAAGUCCCUUCUAUGGCAUUUCCUUAUUUAUCCCUUUCAUCCUUCCAACCUUUCCAACGUUCCUUAUUUCACUGUACUAUUAAAAAUAAUUUAAACUUCUCUCUCUCUCAGACCAGAAUGAGAGCUUCUACAGGAUGAAAAUAUCUCCUAAUUCAUCUUGGACUCAUAAGUAUUGAGUAUUGGCCUGAACCGAGUAGGUAAAUAUUUUUGGAAUGAAUAAAUGCAUAUUUCUCUGAAAACUAGUAAAAUCCUACAACCAGCUCCAAACCUUCUUCUUUGACAAUUAAUCAAGAAACAUUAAUUGAUAACUUCUGUGUCCUAUCCAGAGAUGGAUAGGACAGAGAUGGAGGUUUAAAACAAUGAGGGAAUAAAAAACAAGCGGUUUUAGCCAACUGAAACCUUGUAUUGGGUGAGCCCCUCCAACUCUAACUCUUCCUAGGCUAAUGGUGAAGAUGAGGCCUCUGCCAUUUGGGUACCUCAGUCUGAUGGGAGAAACACGUCCCUAUCCUUGGGCGAUCGCUGUGUGGCUGGGAUUGGCAGGGCCCAGCCUUAGGCAGCUCCCAGAUUGAUGAAAGAAACAUACUUGGCAACACAAAACAGAUCUAGUCAUGGCUUUCAGACUGAUCCCCCCUCAUAUGCCUCUGUCCUCACAGGCCCAUGCAUCCAACAGACCACCAACUGAUGCCAUUUUCACACAGGAGGACCUCAUUUCCCUCCCCACACCUGGAACCCUGAAUCUGAAAGGGAAAACAGAAGUAUUCCACUUUUUUUCCCAGAGCAUAUUGUUGGGGAACUUGGACUCCUGGAAUCUCAUCAUCAUCCUGGAACAUUAGAGGUGGAAGGGGUCUUCAGGAUUACCUG
rnacentral:lncRNA from 1 species